CAUUUAAAGAGUGCGUAACAGCUCACUAGUCGAGGGACUCCGCAUGGAUAAUAAUCGGGCAUAAGCAUAUUACCGAAGCUAUGGAAUAGAACUAUUGGUAGGGGAGCAUUCCAGUCGCCGUCGAAGAUAUACCUUGAGGUAUGUUGGAGGCCCUGGAAAAGCAAAUGUAGGUAUAAGUAACGAUAAAGGGGGCGAGAAACCCCCUCGCCGUAAGACCAAGGAUUCCUGAUCAACGCUAAUCGGAUCAGGGUAAGUCGGGCCCUAAGGAUCAUCCGAAAGGAGAAGCCGAUGGAAGAAACGGUUAAUAUUCCGUUACUACGAUAAAGAGUGACGGGGAGACGGAGAAGUGACACAUCCGCCUGCUGACGGAAUAGCAGGUUAAAGAGUGUAGAUAAUGGCUGGAUAGGCAAAUCCGUUCGGCCAGUCGAACUUGACAGUACCGAGCGUCCUCGGACAAUCGGAUAGCGAUGGUAAACAGGCUUCCAAGAAAAUCCUCUAAACAUAUUUUUAUCGUACCCGUACCGCAAACGGACACACGUGGUCGGGUAGAACAUACUAAGGCGCUCGAGAGAUUCACGGUUAAGGAACUAGGCAAAUUGACCCUGUAACUUCGGGAAAAAGGGUCCCCGCUGCAAGGCGGGGCGCAGAGAAUAGGUCCAGGCAACUGUUUAACAAAAACACAGGGCUGUGCAAAAUUUCAAGAUGACGUAUACAGCCUGACACCUGCCCGGUGCUGGAAGGUUAAGAGGAGAAGUCAUUCGCAAGAAGAAGCUUUGAAUUGAAGCCCCAGUAAACGGCGGCCGUAACUAUAACGGUCCUAAGGUAGCGAAAUUCCUUGUCGGGUAAGUUCCGACCUGCACGAAUGGUGUAAUGAUCCGGACACUGUCUCAACCGUGAGCUCGGUGAAAUUGUAGUAUCGGUGAAGAUGCCGAUUACCCGCAACGGGACGAAAAGACCCCGUGAACCUUUACUGCAACUUAACAUUGUAAUUGGGUAUCCGAUGUGUAGGAUAGUCCGGAGGCAAAGAAGCAGGUACGCCAGUAUUUGUGGAGCCGACCUUGAAAUACGGACCUUUGGCUAUUUGAUUACUAACCCGCGCUAGUGGGGACAUUGUUUGGUGGGUAGUUUGACUGGGGUGGUCGCCUCCAAAAGCGUAACGGAGGCUUCUAAAGGUGCCCUCAGGCCGAUUGGCAACCGGCCGCAGAGUGCAAUGGCAUAAGGGCGCUUGACUGAGAGACCCACAACUCGACCAGGUAUGAAACUAGUGCAUAGUGACUCGGUGGUUUCGCCUGGAAACGCCAACGCUCAAAGGUAAAAAGGGAACA
rnacentral:rRNA from 1 species